rnacentral:rRNA from 1 species
GCACAGAGUUAGCCGUCCCUUCCUCUUCGGCUACUAGCAGAUCACAAGGCAGUUAACCUGUGACUUUGUUCACCAAUGACAGGAGUUUACAAUCCGAAGACCUUCAUCCUCCACGCGGCGUCGCUCCUUCAGGGUUUCCCCCAUUGAGAAAAAUUCUCGACUGCUGCCACCCGUAGGUGUCUGGACCGUGUCUCAGUUCCAGUGUGGCUGGUCGUCCUCUCAGACCAGCUACCCGUCAUAGCCUUGGUAAGCCAUUACCUUACCAACUAGCUGAUAGGCCGCGAGCCCCUCUAGAAGCGCCAGGUUGCCCCGGCUUUAGUAUUACUACCACAUGCGGUAUUAAUUCGCCUUUCGGCGAGCUAUCCCCCACUUCAAGGCAGGUUGCUCACGUGUUACUCACCCUUGCGCCACUGAACAUCAUCUGUAUUGCUACAAAUAAUGUCCCGUUCGACUUGCAUGUCUUAUCCACGCCGCCAGCGUUCGUU